rnacentral:rRNA from 1 species
CCUACGGGUGGCAGCAGUAGGGAAUAUUGCUCAAUGGGCGAAACUCUGAAGCAGCAACGCCGCGUGGGGGAUGAAGGUUUUCGGAUUGUAAAACCCUUUUGUUAGAGAAGAUCAUGUCGGUAUCUAACUGAUAACCCCUUGCCAACGACGUGCCAGCAGCCGCCGUCAUACGGCGGGGGAAAGCUGUACUCGGUACCACUGGGCGGAACGGGGGCGUAGGCGGGGUAGGAAGUCAGAUGUGAAAUCCUAUGGCUUAACCAGAGAAGUGCAUUGGAAACUGUGCUUCUAGAGUGUGGGAGAGGGAAGUGGAAUUCCUGGUGUAGGGGUAAAAUCCGUAGAGAUAAGGAGGAAUACUCAUUGCGAAGGCGACCUGCUAGAACGUAACUGACGCUGAUGCGCGAAAGCGUGGGGAGCAAACAGGAUUAGAUACCCGAGUAGUC